rnacentral:tRNA from 1 species
GGAGAGGUGGCCGAGUGGUUGAAGGCGCUCGCCUGGAAAGCGGGUAUACGGCAAAACCGUAUCGUGAGUUCGAAUCUCAUCCUCUCCGCCA